AGUUAACAAAGAAAGUUCUUUAUAAUUUGCGAUACCUGUUAUCUCUGACUGAGGCUUUAGUUUUUGUUGAGCUGAUUUACACGUAGAAACUUUGUUCAGGAAAAUUUCUCAGUAGCUCAGAGGACAGGCUGCUUUUUACACAACCUUGUAAGAGAAUGUUUGUCAAUGCUUUCAGCAGAAUUUAGAAACACAACACUUCCUAAACAGAUAUUUUGAGGCUGUGAGGUUGAACGUUUGAGAGUAUAUCAGUGUGUUUGUUUGUGGUCUUUCUGUUUCUAGGUGGAAGCUGAAUUAGUGAGGAUGACUCCUGCUCCUGUCAUCUCUAAGCUCCUCACACAUCUUUACCUGCACAUGAGGAAAAUCACUCCUGUAGAAUGCAGAUGUUCAGAGGGAGCUGAUGCCACAUCUGGUCCAGCUGAUGGAAGGUCUUGAAGUUCUCUGACUGGCCUCGACUGAAGAUGGUCGUCUCACUGGAUUUAAGGUUCAGAUGCUCAGUAACAAACUCCACCAAUGUGCCAACAGGGAAGCUUUAGGUUUAUUAAAUGUUGCUAUGAAGGUUUCGCUGUUUUUCUUUGUGAAUGCAAUGUGCUCCAACUGAAACUUGAAUUAGAACUUAGAAGUAAAUCUUUCCAUCUGAAAGGAUUUAGUUGCAUUAAUAACCUCAUAACAUUCUAAUUUUUAUUCCAGUCUUGGUUGAAAAUAGAAUCUCUGUAUUGAUUCAGGUAAAAACUGAACUUCACAGCAUGUUGGAGCAAAACAACCAGAUGAAAACUGUGAUGGUGUUGGAUUGUCAGACCGUAAUGUUGCAGCUCAAAGCAGCUUUUCUAGCUCAGUUCAUUCUGACAUUCAGCUAUGAAUCAACACAGCAGAUGGUGAUCCAUGCUGUGGAAGUCUCACAUCUCCUGAUUUAAUGGAGCUGCUUUGCACUUUUUACACUGUUUAUUCACCAACACUUUAUUUAAUAAAAGUCCCAUCUAGUGUUUAUGAGGAAUGUGAUGUUUUAAUUUCUCUGUGAAUAACUGCAGUCUAAUGCAACAGCUGGAGUUGUAACAUCUGUCCUGAUAUUGAUCAUGAAGUAUUGAUCAGAAUACUUAUGGUUAGCAGUCAUCCCUGAAGAUUUACAUUAAAAUCUUUACUUGUGUUGUGAACUUUGGUAAGAAGCAGAAACGUUAGCGUUGCCAUGGAUAUACGAGUGUUAAAUUCUGUCCAUGUUUCCAUUUUGGGAAACUCAGUCCAGCAGAUGAGUUUGUUUUUACUGCCAGCUACCAUUCAGUCUGAGAUAUUAAGAAUAAAUAAAUGUGCAUAAUGUGGAAAUGAACAGAUUUUAUUUUUAUUUAUUCCUAAAGCUGGUAAGGUUCCAGAAUGUGGAGGAAUUUAGUCUCACAGUCACAGAAAACAAAUAUUAUCUGAAAGUCGGGUUAUUGUUGUUUAUCAGCACAAUACAAAAAGAUUAAAUUUAGAAAUAUUCCAGUUAAGACUCUAGAAUAUCACGAUUUAUAUAAAUUUACUUCAAUAAUAUGAAUGUUCAGGUUAAGAUUGUACAGUGAUAUUUAUUAUGUAAGUUUAGCUGAUUAAAGUUUAUGACUCUGCACUAAAAUAUUAUUUAAAUUGACAUCAUUAUUAUAAUAUUUAGGGUCAGACCCUACAGUAUUGAGAUUAAGAAAUCAAAUAUUCUAUAAAAUGUAAAUACACUGAACUCAUUUGGAUACAUUUAAGUGAGACUCUACAAUAUUAUUUGACACAAAUGUAUCUAAAUCAAAAUUUUAAUAAUUUUCACGCCAAACAUUUACUGGACUGAUUUAAAUAUUAAAAUCACUCCUUUCUAAUCCUCUGCUGUACGUUCAAACCUGAGGCCUGAAAUAGAAACACACAAGUAUCUGUUUGAAGAAACUUCUGCAGAGUCCUGGUUCCAGAACAUGAUGAUAAAAUUAUAGACAAACUUUAACAAAAGCUGCCUGAGAGUUUACAGGUUUUUAUGUCAGAUUUCUUCAGUAAUUUAAUGAUAGUUAUCAGCAAUAAUCAAGUGUUCAUUUGAUGAACUUCAUUUCCUAAAACAUCCAGAAUUGAAGCUCAUAUCUUUGGCAGCUGUAAAGUUUCUGCUCCUUCAAAGUUCACAACACAAUGAAUGAAUUCCUAAAACACUCUAAAUGCUGGAGAGCGUUUGUGAUGCUGAAGCAGUGACCAGUUUUUCUGUUUCUUCUCUGGAGAUGCACAAUGAGGGACGUCUGCAGAGACUGAGAAAGAGUCUCACCACAUCCUGACAUGAGGAAAAAGACUUUAUUGAAGACUACAAUGAGAAAAACUAUCAGACAGCAGACGGCUGCAUUCAAGUCUGUAGCUGCUGAAUUCAUGGAUGAAUCAUCUGGCACUAGAGAGGAAGACCAUCAAACAUCCACGUCAGCUGAUGGAGGUCCAAGAGUCUCACCGAACAAACAACCUACAGAGUGAAGACCUCAAAUCUGAUUGGACGGCCUCCUAUUCAGCCACAUGUGUGAACAAAUGCCUCUAAGUUGAUUUGUUUUCUAAAAUAAAUCUAGUUUGAGUCCUAA